CCAAUCACAUCCAACAGGAUUAACUGUGGACGCUGUAAGAGGAAGCUGUCUGAAAGGGAUGUUCGGGUGCUAACCCGGAUUGUAUCCAAAAAACAUAAAACAACGGCUGAUCAAAUCACGCAGAAUUCAAUGUGCACCUCAACUCUCCUGUUUCCACCAGAACUGUCCGUCACCACAAUCAAUUACUGUGCUCUAAAACCAGGUGUUUCAGUUUUAUUGUCCAACCCCUGUAUGUAUGUGUGUGUUAGACGUGUGGAGAAAUAGGCUUUUCUAACUGGUUCAGUUCAGUGAUUUAUUUGGUUUUAUUUGUAUUUUGUUGGUUUAAUUUGAUUUGGUUUGGCUGUGGAGCAUCGCUACCUAAAACAUGAUGAUAAAACUACGUGACUCGUUAUGUGACUUACGAUCGAUCGCUGACCAGCAGUGAUUUCUUUAUGCAACUCAAUAAACUUGUCAUGACUGUA